rnacentral:rRNA from 1 species
GUGCACCAGGCGCGAAUACUUACAAUGUGCGAAGCACGAUAAGGGAACUCUGAGUGCCUCCUAAGGAGGCUGUUCAGGUGUCUAAAGCACCUGGAGUAAGGGCUGGGUAAGACCGGUGCCAGCCGCCGCGGUAACACCGGCAGCCCAGGUGGUAGCCACUUUAUUGGGUCUAAAGCGUCCGUAGCCGGUUGAGUAAGUUCCUUGGGAAAUUUGGCUGCUCAAUAGUCAAGCUUCCAGGGAAUACUGCUCGACUUGGGACUGGGAGAGGUCAGAGGUACUCCAGGGGUAGGGUGAAAUCCAUUAAUCCCUGGGGGACCACCGGUAGCGAAGGCGUCUGACCAGACCAGGUCCGACGGUGAGGGACGAAGGCUAGGGGCGCGAACCGGAUUAGAUACCCCCGUAGU